AAGUCGCUCCACUUUGCUUUUGCACCCACCGGUUUCAAAAACUCGCCCCCCAAAAUUCCUCCUCCUUCCUCUCGAAGGCGGCGAACCCCAUCGAUUCCUCUUCCUCCUCCGCCGCACGCGCCCCAAUCCGAUUCAACCGCCGGCGGCGGCGGCGGCGGCGGCGGUGGCGGCGAUGGAGGUCGGGGACCUGCACAAGGUGUGGGAGAUCCGCGCGCUCAAGAGAAAGCCCGACGAGCCCGCCGCCCGCGCGCUCCUCGACCGCGUCGCCAAGCAGGUCCAGCCCAUCAUGCGCCGCCGCAAGUGGCGCGUCAAGGUCCUCUCCGAGUUCUCGCCGAAGAACCCGAGGCUGCUGGGGCUCAACGUCGGCGGGGGAGUCGAGGUGAAGCUGCGGCUGCGGCACGCGGGACGGGACUACGACUUCAUCCCCUACGAGGAGGUGCUCGACACCAUGCUCCACGAGCUCUGCCACAUCGCGCGGGGCCCCCACGACGCGCAGUUCUACAAGCUCUGGGAUGAGCUCCGCAAGGAAUGUGAAGAACUUGUUUCCAAGGGUAUCACUGGAUCAGGCCAAGGAUUUGAUGGUACAGGUCGGCGGUUAGGUGGGUUUACAGUACACCCACCGCCACCAUCUUUAAGGCAAGCAACAUUAGCUGCAGCACAGAAACGGGCAAGGAAUGGAGCUCUUUUGCCAUCCGGUCCUAGAAAGCUUGGUGGAAAUAAUGAUAUUAUGAGUGCUCUUAGUCCAAUACAAGCCGCUGCAAUGGCUGCUGAAAGGAGAAUGUAUGACGAUUUGUGGUGUGGAUCGCACGAUCAAUCUGGCAUUGAUGAUUCAGAAGACGUUGUUAUUCUUGAGGAUACACCUAACUUGCCAACGCAGCUUGGGAAAAGCACAAAGGAUGGCUUUUCUAGCAGUUCUGAGAAUCCCAGCACAUCUUCGGGAUUUCCCACAGCAGCACAGAAUGGAUCCUCUUCUUGUAGGAUAACAACCGAUGCAGGAGAUAGUUCUCUAUGGGAGUGUGUUGCUUGCACACUUCUAAAUCAGCCUCUGGCACCAAUCUGUGAAGUUUGUAGCGCAGCUAAACCUAAAACCACGAAGGCCAAAUAUGCAACCUGGUCCUGUAAAUUCUGUACUCUAGAAAACAGUACUAAGAUUGACAAAUGUUCAGCAUGCGAUCAAUGGAGAUAUUCACAUGGACCACCUGCAGCCACAUAUUGUCCAAGCUAUGAUUGAUCUACAUUGAAGCUUGCAUUAAUAUGGACUACAGAAUUUUGGACAGCCAUCUGCUGAAUUGUGGAUACACAAAUUCGUUCCCAUCAGCAGUUCUAUCUGUUACCCCAUUGCACUUCUGCAUAACGAAUCAGAUGUGUAAUUUACUAUCUAAAGCAUUCCCUCUUUCGUGGAUCACAUCAUGUGUAUAGAGAGAACCACCUAUUGGAAACAUCUGACAUAUCCCAAGCUCCCUCUGGGAGCAGCUAACGCUUGAACCAUUUUCAAUCCUUCCUGCUCCUGAAGUCCUGAAGCAUGACCGAGCACGCUGGUACUAUCAUGAGUCGCUGUUGCUGCAGUUGAGCGAUAUAAGCUGUCACUUCAUUCUAAUCAACUAAGGUCGUUGACUUUUUAUUCGUCCUCGUCUAAUUUCUCCAUUUGGCAGCUUUGGGUUUGCUCUUGGUUGGGUGCCAACUGCCAAUGACUUGACAAGUUGACAUUGUAUGGUCAAAGCCCAAUGGGGGAGUGAGCUUUAUCACUUGUGUAACGAUUAACAAAUUUCUUAAAAUCAUUCCCGUGGUAGAAUCUCGAGCGAAACCAACACUGGCUCCUUUUGAAACAAAGGAAUUUUACAUGUUCAUAGGAAUUUGAUUCGAUUCACACAAAUCCUACUCCAGAUUCCUUUGUUUCAAAAGGAAUUCACUUCAUCACCUUGCAGGUGCAAAAGAGUACCCCUCCAAUGAUCUCAAGCAACACGAUGUGCAAAAUCUAGACCGUUCCACUUGAUUAUCCAUAUAGCAACCUUUUUGCAAAUGCAUCAUUAACAAAAGCUAAUCAACGGAGCUACGAAACGGCUAAUAAAAACAUAUGCAAGGACAAUCAUAUUACUCCUAAUCAAGAGGAUAUUUAUAGUAAACUAAAUUACACCUUGUAUACAUACUACUAUACGGUACAGUACGUCGCUGUAGCUUCUCUCCAUCCAUCCAUCGAAAUCUCCACUCCAUCCAUCCAUCGAAAUCUCCAGUAAUCCGAAACCCAUCAACCUCACCACCAAGAGUUGAUAACCCGAUAAUCAUCGCGGCGCCAGUAUUCGUCACGCAUCUCGUUUUCUCUUUAUUUGUUUCUUCUUUCGCUUUUUUUUUUAGCAUUUAACUAUUCGCCAUUUUUAAGAUGUGACAAUUAAAAAUUUAGUUAUCAUGUUUCUAUGACAUAAAGAUCUAAUGAUAAAUCAUUUAUCACUAAUUGUAAGAGUGGUAAAUAGUUAAUUAUUUCUUUUUCUUCCCCUCUCAAAUCUCGUUUUCUUCUCUUUCCUUUUCUUUUUUCCCUUCUUUUUUUCUUUUCAUCUCAAAGCAGAGAGCAUCUCAUCUCAUCGAUCGAUCUCGAUCCAUUUCCGUUUGCUUCUUCUCCUCUCCUCUCCAAGAAGAGGCGAGCUCGCCUCCUCCUCCUCUCGACGCGAGCGGCGAUGCGUGCGGGCGACAUGCCGGGGCGGGGGGCUCGCCGUCGCCCGGAUCUCACCCUCCCGAUGCCGCAGCGCGACGCGCCGACGUCGCUCGCCGUGCCGCUCCCGCUCCCGCCGGCGGCGACGACGACGACGUCCGCGCCUCCCGCGGGAGGGGCGAUGCACCCACUGGCGUCGGCGGGGGCCGCGCCGCCGCCGCCGCUGGAGGAGCUGGAACGGGUGAGGCGGGUGGGGAGCGGGGCAGGGGGGACGGUGUGGAUGGUGCGCCACCGCGGCACGGGCAAGGAGUACGCGCUCAAGGUGCUCUACGGCAACCACGACGACGCGGUGCGGCGCCAGAUCGCGCGCGAGAUCGCCAUCCUCCGCACCGCCGAGCACCCGGCGGUGGUGCGGUGCCACGACAUGUACGAGCGCGGCGGCGAGCUGCAGAUCCUGCUCGAGUACAUGGACGGCGGGUCCCUCGACGGCCGCCGCAUCGCCGACGAGCGGUUCCUCGCCGACGUCGCGCGCCAGGUGCUCUCCGGGAUCGCCUACCUCCACCGCCGCCACAUCGUCCACCGCGACAUCAAGCCGUCCAACCUCCUCAUCGACUCCGCGCGCCGCGUCAAGAUCGCCGACUUCGGCGUCGGCCGCAUCCUCAACCAGACCAUGGAUCCCUGCAACUCCUCCGUCGGCACCAUCGCCUACAUGAGCCCCGAGCGCAUCAACACCGACCUCAACGACGGCGCCUACGAUGGCUACGCCGGCGACAUCUGGAGCUUCGGCCUCAGCAUCCUAGAGUUUUACAUGGGAAAAUUCCCCUUCGGUGAGAAUCUUGGCAAGCAGGGUGACUGGGCCGCGCUCAUGUGCGCCAUCUGCUAUUCCGACCCUCCCGAGCCGCCCGCCGCCGUCUCGCCGGAGUUCAGAAGCUUCGUCGGCUACUGCCUUCAGAAGAAUCCGGCGAAGCGGCCGUCCGCCGCGCAGCUGAUGCAGCACCCGUUCGUCGCCGGACCGCAGCCACAGCCACUCGCCGCCCCGCCGCCAUCGUCGUGACUGCCAAUUCCAUCCGGUCAUCGUGUCAAACUCCAUUUCCAUCUCAUCAAGUUCUUCAUAGCCAAUCCAUUUUCGAGUGUUCUUCAAACACCAUGAUCGUUUUCAUCCAUUGCUGCUGCCCCAACUCAAGGUUCUUCCUCUCUACUGUUCUUUGAUGUUGUUUUAUUCACAAUGAUGAUCAAAUAUUGAGUAAAUCUGGUUUGUACAAAGGAUUUUUUUUUCUACGAGAUCAAGUACAGACAUAAUCCCACUUGUUAGCCAAUUUGCCAUAAAAUUCCCUUAGAAACGAAAAUUUCCACUGUACAAGUAGCAGAUUUUUUUUACUCCAUUUCCACGAUAUUUUGCUUGUUAGUGGUAAGCUGCUUAAUGAUGAUAGUGUGCAAGUUGCCACUCUUCAAAGUGGUUCUUUGGAUUCUACUAUGUGUUCUCUUGCCUAAUUGGGUUCUAUAUUGAGAUUACUUUCUCUA